UCUGGUGGCUAUAGCUAAGGGGAAACACCUCUUCCCAUUCCGAACAGAGAAGUUAAGCCCUUAUACGCCGAUGGUACUGCAUGCGCAGGUGUGUGGGAGAGUAGGUAGUCGCCAGGA
rfam:Melioribacter sp. GWF2_38_21 gwf2_scaffold_7388, whole genome shotgun sequence.